rnacentral:rRNA from 1 species
GGAGGGGAAGAUGGAAUUAGUUGUGUAGGGGUAAAAUCCGUAGAGAUAACUAGGAAUACCAAAAGCGAAGGCGAUCUUCUGGAACAGUACUGACGCUGAGGCGCGAAAGCGUGGGGAGCAAACAGGAUUAGAUACCCUGGUAGUCCACGCCCUAAACGAUGAACACUAGUCGUCGGGAUGCUUGUCAUCUCGGUGAUGCACUUAACAGGUUAAGUGUUCCGCCUGGGGAGUACGGUCGCAAGAUUAAAACUCAAAGGAAUAGACGGGGACCCGCACAAGUGGUGGAGCAUGUGGUUUAAUUCGAAGAUACGCGAAAAACCUUACCUGGCCUUGACAUUGAUAGAAUCUGCUAGAGAUAGCGGAGUGCCCUUCGGGGAGCUUGAAAACAGGUGCUGCACGGCUGUCGUCAGCUCGUGUCGUGAGAUGUUGGGUUAAGUCCCGCAACGAGCGCAACCCUCGUCCUUAGUUGCCAGCAGGUUAAGCUGGGCACUCUAGGGAGACUGCCUUCGCAAGGAGGAGGAAGGUGAGGACGACGUCAAGUCAUCAUGGCCCUUACGGCCAGGGCUACACACGUGCUACAAUGGGGCGUACAGAGUGUUGCAAUACCGCGAGGUGGAGCCAAUCACUUAAAGCGUCUCUCAGUUCGGAUUGUUCUCUGCAACUCGAGAGCAUGAAGCUGGAAUCACUAGUAAUCGUAGAUCAGCAUAAAUACGGUGAAUACGUUCCCGGGUC